rnacentral:rRNA from 1 species
AAUGCCUACGGGGCGCAGCAGUGGGGAAUAUUGGGCAAUGGGCGCAAGCCUGACCCAGCAACGCCGCGUGAAGGAAGAAGGCUUUCGGGUUGUAAACUUCUUUUAAGAGGGAAGAGCAGAAGACGGUACCUCUUGAAUAAGCCACGGCUAACUACGUGCCAGCAGCCGCGGUAAUACGUAGGGGGCAAGCGUUAUCCGGAUUUACUGGGUGUAAAGGGAGCGUAGACGGCUGUGCAAGUCUGAAGUGAAAGCCCGUGGCUCAACCGCGGAACCGCUUUGGAAACUGUAUAGCUUGAGUACUGGAG